rnacentral:rRNA from 1 species
UACGUAGGGGCCGAGCGUUGUCCGGAGUUAUUGGGCGUAAAGCGCGCGCAGGCGGCUUGGCGCGUCCGACGUGAAAGCCCCCGGCUUAACCGGGGAGAGUCGUCGGGGACGGCCGGGCUUGAGGGCGGGAGAGGGUGGUGGAAUUCCCGGUGUAGUGGUGAAAUGCGUAGAGAUCGGGAGGAACACCUGUGGCGAAGGCGGCCACCUGGGCCGACCCUGACGCUGAGGCGCGAAGGCGUGGGGAGCGAACGGG